UGUCACCGUUUGAGAUACUCAUGGGAAGACCAUUUCCUACUCCUUGGGUGAAGGGACAAUUUGUUAUUAUGCCUGGUGAUUUAGAAUUAAUCCAGGAAGAGUAUGUUAAACAGUUAAUUUUUAAACUCAACUCUGUAUAUGGUGAUGUUUCCGUGCAGUUUCCUCUACCCUCACAGGAACCUACACAUCCUUACCAGCCUGGUGAUCUGGUCUGUAUCCGACAGCUGAACAAGAGCAGGAAGGGAAAGUUUCCUUUUGGC